GAACGCUGGCGGCGUGCUUAACACAUGCAAGUCGAACGGUGAAGCCAAGCUUGCUUGGUGGAUCAGUGGCGAACGGGUGAGUAACACGUGAGCAACCUGCCCUGGACUCUGGGAUAAGCGCUGGAAACGGCGUCUAAUACUGGAUAUGAGCUCUCAUCGCAUGGUGGGGGUUGGAAAGAUUUUUCGGUCUGGGAUGGGCUCGCGGCCUAUCAGCUUGUUGGUGAGGUAAUGGCUCACCAAGGCGUCGACGGGUAGCCGGCCUGAGAGGGUGACCGGCCACACUGGGACUGAGACACGGCCCAGACUCCUACGGGAGGCAGCAGUGGGGAAUAUUGCACAAUGGGCGGAAGCCUGAUGCAGCAACGCCGCGUGAGGGAUGACGGCCUUCGGGUUGUAAACCUCUUUUAGCAGGGAAGAAGCGAGAGUGACGGUACCUGCAGAAAAAGCGCCGGCUAACUACGUGCCAGCAGCCGCGGUAAUACGUAGGGCGCAAGCGUUAUCCGGAAUUAUUGGGCGUAAAGAGCUCGUAGGCGGUUUGUCGCGUCUGCUGUGAAAUCCCGAGGCUCAACCUCGGGCCUGCAGUGGGUACGGGCAGACUAGAGUGCGGUAGGGGAGAUUGGAAUUCCUGGUGUAGCGGUGGAAUGCGCAGAUAUCAGGAGGAACACCGAUGGCGAAGGCAGAUCUCUGGGCCGUAACUGACGCUGAGGAGCGAAAGGGUGGGGAGCAAACAGGCUUAGAUACCCUGGUAGUCCACCCCGUAAACGUUGGGAACUAGUUGUGGGGACCAUUCCACGGUUUCCGUGACGCAGCUAACGCAUUAAGUUCCCCGCCUGGGGAGUACGGCCGCAAGGCUAAAACUCAAAGGAAUUGACGGGGACCCGCACAAGCGGCGGAGCAUGCGGAUUAAUUCGAUGCAACGCGAAGAACCUUACCAAGGCUUGACAUAUACGAGAACGGGCCAGAAAUGGUCAACUCUUUGGACACUCGUAAACAGGUGGUGCAUGGUUGUCGUCAGCUCGUGUCGUGAGAUGUUGGGUUAAGUCCCGCAACGAGCGCAACCCUCGUUCUAUGUUGCCAGCACGUAAUGGUGGGAACUCAUGGGAUACUGCCGGGGUCAACUCGGAGGAAGGUGGGGAUGACGUCAAAUCAUCAUGCCCCUUAUGUCUUGGGCUUCACGCAUGCUACAAUGGCCGGUACAAAGGGCUGCAAUACCGUGAGGUGGAGCGAAUCCCAAAAAGCCGGUCCCAGUUCGGAUUGAGGUCUGCAACUCGACCUCAUGAAGUCGGAGUCGCUAGUAAUCGCAGAUCAGCAACGCUGCGGUGAAUACGUUCCCGGG
rnacentral:rRNA from 1 species